rnacentral:lncRNA from 1 species
UGGAAAAAUCACAGGAAACGAAAAACAGGAAGGGGCUCAUCAAAGGAGGUUUCGUGUUUUACCCACGGCAGCACUGCUGGACUUUAUCCACGAUUUCUGGCUCAUCCGCCGUUUCUUUUGCUGCAAUUUGACCAUGGGUGUGCUUAAAAUCAAAUUCUAAGCGGAUAAAAGAAUUUUUACCUCUUUUGGCGGUCGGAGGUGACUCCGGUGCGACAGCGGACGACUGGUGGCUCCCUUCUCCAGUGACUGGUUCUUUUUCUCCGGUGGGAGGUUGGCGACUAGGGUCUUGAUUUGGUGUGAUGCGAGAUAUUUAUACCUGUCUUGCAUUAAUCUGGACCGUUUAUCGCAAUUGAUCUCAACUGUCCGAUCGUAUUUAAAGAAAAAAUGAAUAUAGACCGUUCAUCGCGAUUUCAUCUCGACCGUACGAUC